GCAUGGAUUUCGUCUUCAUCUCAGAUUUCAAAUCUGAGGUUUUGAAAUCCGACGUUUGCUAAAAUCGUAGAUCCCACCUUGAAAUCCAGCGUCGGAUCUGAGAUCCGAGACUGCCAAACACGGGCUCGAAUAAUUUUUACUUCGUUUUUUUGAAUCGCAUACCUUUUUGGGGAAGAGAAAGGGUCGCCGGGUCUGGAACAGCAUGAGCUUUUUCGGAUCAAUUAAAACCUAAAGCUCAGGCCCGAACAUGGACCCGGACCGAAUUUGAAAGGAAAAUGGAAAGGAGGGGCAGAAGAAAAAGAGGGAAGAAAACGAGGGUUCGAGAUCGGACCACAAAAUAAAAGGAGGGAAGAGUUCUUGUACCCCAUUUUCUCUCUCUCUCUACCGCCAGAAGGAGGAGGAGGAAGCAAGGAGAAAGGGGAUGUCGCAUUUCGGGAGAUCAGGACCCCCAGAUAUCAGGGAUACAUACUCCCUUCUGGUUCUCAACAUUACCUUCAGGACGACGGCUGAUGACCUCUUUCCCUUGUUCGACCGCUACGGCAAGGUCGUCGACAUCUUUAUCCCAAGGGACAAGCGGACGGGGGAAUCGCGAGGGUUUGCGUUUGUUCGAUACAAAUAUGCAGAUGAGGCGCAAAUGGCGGUAGACCGGCUUGAUGGAAGGACCGUGGACGGCAGGGAAAUCAUGGUGCAGUUCGCGAAAUAUGGCCCCAAUGCUGAGCGGAUACAUAAGGGGAGGAUUGUUGAGUUUUUUCCAAAAUCAAGAGGCAGAUCUAGAAGCCACAGCCCUAGGCCCAGGUACCGUGAUGACUACCGCGACAAGGAUUAUAAGAAGCGAAGUCGUAGCCGCAGUAUUGAAAGAUCUGAUCGCCAUCGGGACCGUGGAAAGGAACGGAGCUCUCGUCACCGAAGCAAGAGCCGGAGCUUGAGCCCUGAUUAUCGCAGAGGGCGGGAUAGGCGAAGGGCAUCUGAUGAGCCAAGGAGCCGAAGUGGCUCUUAUGCUAGUCCUCGUAGAAGCCCAAGCCCUCGAAGAAGCCCGAGCCCUCGAAGAAGCCCGAGCCCUCGAAGAAGUCCAAAUCCUCGAAGAAGUCCAUCUCGUAGCAAGAGCCCUCCCAGCAGAAAUGAAAGCCCGUCCAAGAGAAGUCCUGAUAACAGGUCCCCGCCAGACAGUCCUGCUGGAAGAAGAAGUCCACAUGAAAGGUCCCCAGGAUCGGACUAUUGAGCACAAUGAGCAGCUAUGGGCCUGAGAAACUUGCCUGAUGCCUCAGUGUACUGGUUGUUGAAUCAGUGGUUUCUGUAUCUGCUGUCACUUUUAUGUCUGUCGAUGUUGUCAGCAGUGUACUUGAUCCGGAGCAAGUAGCUUGGUUUCUUUACUUUUGGGACUUCUCGUAGAGUAACAAGUUUUGCGAUAAGACUCUAGAUUUUAUGACUACUCGGUGCUUAUGAACCAUCAGAAACAUUGCAGUUCGGGAUUUGGAAAUAUUUGUAGAUUGAAAGUACUUUAGUUCGUAACUUCUUGUUCUGAUCAGCUGUUAGGAUAUGUUCGUGAGGGGUCGUUUACCUUGAUAGUGAUAUGGUCGUGAAAAGCAUGAUUGUAGCUGUGAUGAUCAAGAUUGCAGCAAGUGAGAUUAUGUGCUCGCUGUUUGAUGAUUUCUAGCUGAUAGUGCUGAUGCUGGAUAAGCAGCUGAUGUUCUUUUUGACAGCACUGAUCACACUAUUUAGUAAGCUGGACUCACCAUCUAGAUGUGUGAGUUUAAUGUUGACUUUGAGCUAAGGUACUCUAAUUCAUUAGUCAAAAUCAUGUUUCCUUGGUUUCUGCUUCUUUGUAGCAGUCCACCAUGUAGCUGUCCCUCAAUGCUUUUGUUGGGCUGAGGAUGAUUUUCACAAGUAUGCAAAAUCGGUAGUUAUGUUUCUGAAUGGCCAAAUUGCAUGGAAAGUGGCAUAUAUUCAUUAUGCCUGUGGAUGACUGGAACAAUGGGACCUGUGCAAUUCUCAUGAUGGUCAAAAAUUUUGAGUUGUGAAGGUCAUUGCCUAAUGUUGCUGAGGUUGAAAAAACAUGUGAGUGGCAGAUGGUGAGAAAGUUGAUGACCUGUUGAACUACUCCUUUGUUGCUGGAUCGGGUCUCAUCUUGCACCAGGGUCUAUAAUUUUUGUGCUUCUGAGUGGACUUAUAGCAGUUCCUGAGGACUGCCUGCAGGCUUUUGGUGCAAUCUUGUGUGCUGCUGCUCCAUUCUGUUCCAUCUUCCCGUUUAUAUUAUUAUUUUCUAUAGGUUCGUGGUUUAGAAGGCUCCUGCAAGCUGUGCAUGGUUAUGAAUUGCCUGUAUAUGCAAUGUAUCUCAUGGUGGCUGUUUUCUAUAUACAUCAUAAAUCAUCUUUCAUUUUCAUAAAGUGUGGAGAAUGUGAAAGAUGACUUUUUUUUUUUAUAUAUGGUGGCUGUUUUCUAUAUACAUCAUAAAUCAUCUUUCAUCCUCAUAAAGUGUGGAGAAUGUAAAGAUGACCUUUCUA